rnacentral:tRNA from 1 species
GGAUGUAGCUCAGUGGUAGAGCACUUGCCUACCAUGCUUGAGGUCCUGGGUUCAAUUACCAGGGCCAUACA